AUCCAGCUGACGAGUCCUAAAUAGGACGAAACUCGUGUCAAACUGGAU
rnacentral:hammerhead_ribozyme from 1 species